AUUGAACGCUGGCGGCAGGCCUAACACAUGCAAGUCGAGCGGAUGAGAGGAGCUUGCUUCUCGAUUCAGCGGCGGACGGGUGAGUAAUGCCUAGGAAUCUGCCUGGUAGUGGGGGACAACGUUUCGAAAGGAACGCUAAUACCGCAUACGUCCUACGGGAGAAAGCAGGGGACCUUCGGGCCUUGCGCUAUCAGAUGAGCCUAGGUCGGAUUAGCUAGUUGGUGAGGUAAUGGCUCACCAAGGCGACGAUCCGUAACUGGUCUGAGAGGAUGAUCAGUCACACUGGAACUGAGACACAGACCAGACUCCUACGGGAGGCAGCAGUGGGGAAUAUUGGACAAUGGGCGAAAGCCUGAUCCAGCCAUGCCGCGUGUGUGAAGAAGGUCUUCGGAUUGUAAAGCACUUUAAGUUGGGAGGAAGGGUUGUAGAUUAAUACUCUGCAAUUUUGACGUUACCGAUAGAAUAAGCACCGGCUAACUCUGUGCCAGCCGCCGCAGUAAAAC
rnacentral:rRNA from 1 species